rnacentral:rRNA from 1 species
UUCCGGUUGAUCCUGCCGGAGGCCAUUGCUAUCGGAUUCCGAUUUAGCCAUGCUAGUCGCACGGGUUCAGACCCGUGGCGAACAGCUCAGUAACACGUGGCCAAACUACCCUACGGACCGGGACAACCUCGGGAAACUGAGGNUAAUUCCGGAUACCGCUCCCAGGCUGGAAUGCCGGGAGCGCGAAACGCUCCGGCGCCGUAGGAUGUGGCUGCGGCCGAUUAGGUAGACGGUGGGGUAACGGCCCACCCGUGCCCAUAAUCGGUACGGGAUGUGAGAGCAAAUAGCCCGGAGAUGGGAAUCUGAGACAAGAUUCCAGGCCCUACGGGGCGCAGCAGGCGCGAAANCUUUA